CCCCACUGCUAUCGGGAUGGGACUAAGACAUGCUAGUCGAGCGUCUCCAAGCUAUGGAAGAGACGCGGCGCACAGCUCAGUAACACGUGGCUAACCUGCCCUUGGGACAAGGACAACUCCGGGAAACUGGGGCUAAUCCCUGAUAAGUGAGAACUCCUGGAAUGGAUUCUCGCUCAAAGGACGUUUAGACCAUGCUUCUAGGCGUCGCCCAAGGAGGGGGCCGCGACCGAUCAGGUUGUUGGUGAGGUAACGGCUCACCAAGCCUUUAACCGGUACGGGCCGUGAGAGCGGAAGCCCGGAGAUGGGCACUGAGACAAGGGCCCAGGCCCUACGGGGCGCAGCAGUCGCGAAAACUCCGCAAUACACGAAAGUGUGACGGGGCCACCCCGAGUGCCAUCCGCUGAGGAUGGCUUUUCCCCAGUGUAUAAAGCUGGGGGAAUAAGGAGAGGGCAAGCCUGGUGUCAGCCGCCGCGGUAAUACCAGCUCUCCGAGUGGUGGGGAUGUUUAUUGGGCCUAAAGCAUUCGUAGCCUGCUUGGCAAGUCCUCCGUUAAAUCCAACGAUUCAAUCGUUGGGCUGCGGGGGAUACUGUCCGGCUAGGGGGCGGGAGAGGCCGACGGUAUCCUCGGGGUAGGGGUGAAAUCCUAUAAUCCCGGGAGGACCACCAGUGGCGAAGGCUGUCGGCUAGAACGCGCUCGACGGUGAGGGAUGAAAGCUGGGGGAGCGAACCGGAUUAGAUACCCGGGUAGUCCCAGCUGUAAACGAUGCAGGCUAGGUGUUGGCGCGGCUACGUGCCGCUCCAGUGCCGCAGGGAAGCCGUUAAGCCUGCCGCCUGGGAAGUACGGCCGCAAGGCUGAAACUUAAAGGAAUUGGCGGGGGAGCACCACAAGGUGUGAAGCUUGCGGUUU
rnacentral:rRNA from 1 species